rnacentral:rRNA from 1 species
CCUACGGGUGGCAGCAGUGGGGAAUAUUGGACAAUGGGGGCAACCCUGAUCCAGCCAUGCCGCGUGUGUGAAGAAGGCCCUCGGGAUGUAAAGCACUUUCAGUGAGGAAGAACGCCUGGUGGUUAAUACCCAUCAGGAAAGACAUCACUCACAGAAGAAGCACCGGCUAACUCCGUGCCAGCAGCCGCGGUAAUACGGAGGGUGCGAGCGUUAAUCGGAAUUACUGGGCGUAAAGCGCGCGUAGGUGGCUUGAUAAGCCGGUUGUGAAAGCCCCGGGCUCAACCUGGGAACGGCAUCCGGAACUGUCAAGCUAGAGUGCAGGAGAGGAAGGUAGAAUUCCCGGUGUAGCGGUGAAAUGCGUAGAGAUCGGGAGGAAUACCAGUGGCGAAGGCGGCCUUCUGGACUGACACUGACACUGAGGUGCGAAAGCGUGGGUGGCAAACAGGAUUAGAUACCCCAGUAGUC